rnacentral:rRNA from 1 species
GAUCCUGGCUCAGGAUGAACGCUAGCUACAGGCUUAACACAUGCAAGUCGAGGGGCAUCAUGCUUAUAGCAAUAUAAGUGAUGGCGACCGGCGCACGGGUGAGUAACACGUAUCCAACCUGCCGAUAACUCGGGGAUAGCCUUUCGAAAGAAAGAUUAAUACCCGAUGGCAUAAUAGAACCGCAUGGUUUGAUUAUUAAAGAAUUUCGGUUAUCGAUGGGGAUGCGUUCCAUUAGGCAG